rnacentral:pre_miRNA from 1 species
UGUUAAAUUUCUAUUUAUUUGUACUGUUAAAAGUUGACGUGGAUGAUGGAAUAAUAGACAGUAACACGGGGCAUGCUAUAUAUACCUCUUAUUGGAGUACAAGAAUCGGUUUUUAACACUUGAAAUGGGUGAAAUUUAUAACA